UCUCUGUUCGUAUAUCGGUUAGUACACGCGCCUGUCAUCGAAAGAUCGACCGCGCGAAAGCUGGGUUCGAUUCCCAGACAGAGAG
rnacentral:tRNA from 1 species